GUCCCCUUUGUCUAAUGGUUAUGACGUCAGACUUCUAAUCUGGAGGUUGCGGGUUCGAGUCCCGCAGGGGAUA
rnacentral:tRNA from 1 species